rnacentral:rRNA from 1 species
UACAGAGGGGGCAAGCGUUGUUCGGAAUUACUGGGCGUAAAGGGCGCGUAGGCGGCCUUCUAAGUCGAACGUGAAAUCCCCGGGCUCAACCCGGGAACUGCGUCCGAUACUGGAAGGCUUGAAUCCGGGAGAGGGAUGUGGAAUUCCAGGUGUAGCGGUGAAAUGCGUAGAUAUCUGGAGGAACACCGGUGGCGAAGGCGGCCCACUGGCUCGAUACUGACGCUGAGGUGCGAAAGCGUGGGGAGCAAACAGG